CCUCUGUCUCUCUCGUCUAUCCCGACGCGGCAGGUGAGCGACGGCGCCCCCAGCGGCCGAGGUGCCCCACCGCCGCCUCGCCUCCUCCACUUCCCCCACCGCGGUAUCGCCUCCUCUGCAUCCUCUCCUUUCUGGAUCUCUCAUCACGGAGGCUCCCCUGCGUUCACCUUCUUCUUCCUGGGCUCUUGUCGACGAAAGAAACGGCAACAGCUAGGUCGUUGUUCCUCUCGGGGUCGAUCCGGACAUCCACGACUAGACCAAAGGCCUCCAUGCUCGGAUCCGUUCGUUGCCCCACCGGAUCUGGCCUCAAGGCAUCCGCUCGCUACGUUGGCGGCGAGGGAUGCGGCAUGGAUGGGGACGUCUUGUGGAUGUGUGCUUGUACUGGUGAAACAACAGCUAAGGCUUAUCAACAGAGUUGAAAAGAGGGAAUGGGUGGAGGUUGACACCAAUCUUGCUGGUUCGUGCAUCCAAUACAAAUUGCUAGGACCUGUCAAUGACUGGUGGCGCUGAUGACUCAGCUCGAUGGCCGGACUGCCUGGUUUGCUAGGUGCUCACCGUCGGCCAGGACUACUACCAUGUUUCAAUCCAUGUAUUAGGCACAAUGGCUUCAUGAAGACAAGGGAUGCUGGUCAACUUAUCCGAGAUUAGCAACCUCAAUCUAUCUCUGACCUGAAAGUCCGGUGAUUACCAUAAACUAAGUUGAUAGACACCAGUUCUACGAAGAAGAUAUUUGAAGAUCUGAUUAUUUUUUUCAUUAUUUUUUAUGUCGACUUUUCCUUAUUUAUUGAACCUUUUAUAGACACACAACUACCGGUAUAAAAAGAACGUGUAAAAUGUAAUAUACAUGUUCUGGAUAUAUAUCUACCUCUCUUAAAGCUCCUAUUAUUACCAACAUGUUUUUCUAUCUUCAAAGUCUUUCGUGCGAACAUGGAUGGGAGUCUGAUCACAACAUGAACCUUGGCUGAUCGUACCGUCUCUACCUCAGCUCAACAAAAUCUAUAGUCCACAACCUCCAUGCCUUGUAAUGUUUAAGCCUACCACUAUCAGAUACUUUUGUACACCACAUCUCACAGUAACUAGCCUCUCUCCGCAUUCUACUAAUGUUGUGUAAUAUCGCUGCCUAGCACUCUGCAGUGCUUUCAUAUUACUACUAGAACUACAGAUGUAAUAGCCUAAUAUGUAUGACUGUCACGUGGACUGCUCUAUAGCUACUUUGAUGUCUAUGAUGCUCGCUGUAUAUAAGCCUGAUUUCAG